AGCAGCCGCGGUAAUUCCAGCUCCAAUAGCGUAUAUUAAAGUUGUUGCAGUUAAAAGCUCGUAGUUGAAUUUCGGGGUCAGCAGGUUGGUCGUGCCGAUGGUAUGCACUGGCCUUGCUGAUUCCUCCCUCUUGAUGAGCCGUAAUGUCAUUAAUUUGGUGUUGCGGGGAAUCAGGACUGUUACUUUGAAAAAAUUAGAGUGUUUAAAGCAGGCAAGCGCUUGAAUACAUUAGCAUGGAAUAAUGAAAUAGGACGUUUGAUCCUAUUUUGUUGGUUUCUAGGAUUGACGUAAUGAUUAAUAGGGAUAGUUGGGGGCAUUAGUAUUCAAUUGUCAGAGGUGAAAUUCUUGGAUUUAUUGAAGACUAACUACUGCGAAAGCAUUUGCCAAGGAUGUUUUCAUUAAUCAAGAACGAAAGUUAGGGGAUCGAAGACGAUCAGAUACCGUCGUAGU
rnacentral:rRNA from 1 species